UAUAUACCCCUUCGUUCCAAAAUUCUUGUCUUAAAUUUAUCUAUAUAUGAAUGUAUCUAGUCAUAUUUUAGUAUGUAGAUACAUUCAUUCCUAGACAAAUCUAAGACAAGAUUUUUGGGACGGAGGGAGUACUAC
rfam:Hordeum vulgare subsp. vulgare, WGS project CAJW01000000 data, contig: morex_contig_1562030